rnacentral:rRNA from 1 species
CCAAGGAGUCUAACAUGUGCGCGAGUCAUUGGGACUUUUUGAUAAGCCUAAAGGCGCAAUGAAAGUGAAGGUCUUCCUUAGCGUUGACCGAGGGAGGAUGGUUUGCGUCACGAUGCAAGCUCGCACUCCCGGGGCGUCUCGUGCUCAUUGCGAGCAGAGGCGCACCUAGAGCGUACACGUUGGGACCCGAAAGAUGGUGAACUAUGCCUGGUCAGGACGAAGUCAGGGGAAACCCUGAUGGAGGUCCGUAGCGAUUCUGACGUGCAAAUCGAUCGUCGGAACUGGGUAUAGGGGCGAAAGACUAAUCGAACCAUC